rnacentral:rRNA from 1 species
UCUGAAAGACUAAGCCAUGCAUGUGCCAGUUCAUACAUUACAACGUGAGACUGCGGAAGGCUCAGUAAAUCAGUUAUAAUCUGUUCGAAAGUGAACCCAGUGGAUAACCGUGGGAAAUCUAGAGCUAAUACAUGCAACCAAGACGGCUGCAGCAAUGUAGUCGUUUGCAUUUAUUGGAGAAAACCAAAUGCUUGGCGGUAAGUCGUCAAGUAGGGUGAAUCUAGAUAACUCUGCAGAUCGCAUGGCCUUGUGCUGGCGAUGUUUCGAUUGAAUUUCUGCCCUAUCAACUUGUUGGUAAGGUAGUGGCUUACCAAGGUUGCAACGGGUAACGGGGAAUCAGGGUUCGAUUCCGGAGAGGGAGCCUGAGAAACGGCUACCACAUCCAAGGAAGGCAGCAGGCGCGCAAAUUACCCAAUCCAGACAAUGGGAGGUGGUGACCAGAAGUACUGGAUGGUAGAUUAUAUCUACUAAUUCCGGAAUGAGCAUAAAGUAAAAAGUUAGUCGAGAAACAACUGGAGGGCAAGUCUGGUGCCAGCAGCCGCGGUAAUUCCAGCUCCAGUAGCAUGUCGUAAAGUUGUUGCGUUUAAAACGCUCGUAGUUGGAUCAUACGGCAGCGUCCGGUUAACCUGCAAGUGCGGACGGAUAAGGCAGUGGGUGCUUGGUCGGUAGUUGACUCUGCCGAUGCUUGGCCUGCUGUUGUCCGCAGUGUGGGUUGUCUGCCGGUCGCUGCUACUUGCACGUAAGAAUGGUGGUUGGCCUUGAGUGCGUCGACCACUGUGUCUUACGGAGUGUGCCUUGAAUAAAUCAGAGUGCUUAAAGCAGGCCUGUGCCUGAAUGAUACAGCAUGGAACGAACAAACGUGGUACGUGUGUCGGACUCGUUGUUACCACUUCGAGCACGAUACACAGCACCAACCCACUGCACGGAUGUUGGUUUCCGUACGGGGGUGAUGAUUAAAACGAGCGGUUGGGGGCAUUGGUAUUUGGCCGCGAGAGGUGAAAUUCUUAGACCGGCCAAGGACUAACAAAAGCGAAGGCAUUUGCCAAGACCGUCUCGAUUGAUCAAGAACGAUAGUGAGAGGUUCGAAGACGAUCAGAUACCGUCCUAGUUCUCACCGUAAACUAUGCCGACCCGGGAUCAGUUUUGAGCUAAUUUCAACGCUCCAGGUUGGUCCCCCUGGGAAACCUAAAGUCUUUGGGUUACGGGGGGAGUAUGGUCGCAAGGCUGAAACUUAAAGGAAUUGACGGAAGGGCACCACCAGGGGUGGAGCCUGCGGCUUAAUUUGACUCAACACGCGAAAACUCACCAGUUCCGGACGUCAAAAGGAUAGACAGACUGAUAGAUCUUUCUUGAUAUGAUGUGUGGUGGUGCAUGGCCGUUCUUAGUUCGUGAAGUGAUUUGUCAGGUUGAUUCCGGUAACGAACGAGACCAACUUCUCCAUUUACGACACGGGAUAGCGGGUUUGUAGCCUGCUCUAGUCACCUGCCAGUCGAAGACUCGAUCUGAGACCGGUAGAGGGCUACCCUCCCGUGAUAUCGUUUGCGGCAACGUAAGCGAUUGCAUGGAGAGACAACUGGCAAUAUAUAAAAUCAGAGGAAGUUUGGCAAUAACAGGUCUGUGAUGCCCUUAGACGUACUGGGCUGCACGCGCGCUACAAUGAUGACGACAGCGAGCUAUCUGAGCCGAAAGGCUUGGGAAAUCUGUCAAUCGUCAUCGUGAUGGGGAUUGUCCAUUGUAAUUUGGACAUGAAAUAGGAAUCCCUUGUACGUGCACUUCAUUUAGAGUGCAUGGAAUGUGUCCCUGCCCUUUGUACACACCGCCCGUCGCUACUACCGAGUGAAUGGUGUCAUGAUGCGUUGGGACUGGACGCCAUUCGGGUUCACGCCCGAUAGGUGCUAGGAUCAACGUAGAA